rnacentral:rRNA from 1 species
CCUACGGGGGGCUGCAGUGGGGAAUAUUGCACAAUGGGCGCAAGCCUGAUGCAGCCAUGCCGCGUGUGUGAAGAAGGCCUUCGGGUUGUAAAGCACUUUCAGCGGGGAGGAAGGCGUUAAGGUUAAUAACCUUGGCGAUUGACGUUACCCGCAGAAGAAGCACCGGCUAACUCCGUGCCAGCAGCCGCGGUAAUACGGAGGGUGCAAGCGUUAAUCGGAAUUACUGGGCGUAAAGCGCACGCAGGCGGUCUGUCAAGUCGGAUGUGAAAUCCCCGGGCUCAACCUGGGAACUGCAUUCGAAACUGGCAGGCUAGAGUCUUGUAGAGGGGGGUAGAAUUCCAGGUGUAGCGGUGAAAUGCGUAGAGAUCUGGAGGAAUACCGGUGGUGAAGGCGGCCCCCUGGACAAAGACUGACGCUCAGGUGCGAAAGCGUGGGGAGCAAACAGGAUUAGAUACCCCUGUAGUC